rfam:Clostridiales bacterium S7-1-4 contig11, whole genome shotgun sequence.
UGGCGCAGAUGGGGAAGUAGCGGUUCCUUGUAACCUGUAAUCCGCUAUAGCAGGGUCUAAAACCGUUGGAGGUCAUUUAUGGUCGAAAGCUGGUUAUAGGCGUUGUGUUGAUCAUGGGGCCCUUUUGCAACGAACAAGUUUGGUGAAACUCGUCAGGUCGGGAACGAAGCAGCGAUAGUCAGAAUUGGCGUGUGACAUUAGGCAACUCUGUGGGAGCAAAGUUUAUAAUAUGAGCACGGUUGUGAAUGUUCGAAUUCGGCUGCGCCU